CACUAUCGUUAACUGAAUACAUAGGUUAACGAGGCGAACCGGGGGAACUGAAACAUCUAAGUACCCCGAGGAAAAGAAAUCAACCGAGAUUCCCCCAGUAGCGGCGAGCGAACGGGGAGCAGCCCAGAGUCUGAAUCAGCUUGUGUGUUAGUGGAACGGUCUGGAAAGUCCGACGGUACAGGGUGAUAGUCCCGUACACCAAAAUGCACAGGCUGUGAACUCGAAGAGUAGGGCGGGACACGUGGUAUCCUGUCUGAAUAUGGGGGGACCAUCCUCCAAGGCUAAAUACUCCUGACUGACCGAUAGUGAACCAGUACCGUGAGGGAAAGGCGAAAAGAACCCCGGCGAGGGGAGUGAAAAAGAACCUGAAACCGUGUACGUACAAGCAGUGGGAGCACCUUCGGGUGUGACUGCGUACCUUUUGUAUAAUGGGUCAGCGACUUAUAUUCUGUAGCAAGGUUAACCGUAUAGGGGAGCCGCAGGGAAACCGAGUCUUAACUGGGCGUUAAGUUGCAGGGUAUAGACCCGAAACCCGGUGAUCUAGCCAUGGGCAGGUUGAAGGUUGGGUAACACUAACUGGAGGACCGAACCGACUAAUGUUGAAAAAUUAGCGGAUGACUUGUGGCUGGGGGUGAAAGGCCAAUCAAACCGGGAGAUAGCUGGUUCUCCCCGAAAGCUAUUUAGGUAGCGCCUCGUGAACUCAUCUUCGGGGGUAGAGCACUGUUUCGGCUAGGGGGUCAUCCCGACUUACCAACCCGAUGCAAACUACGAAUACCGAAGAAUGUUAUCACGGGAGACACACGGCGGGUGCUAACGUCCGUCGUGAAGAGGGAAACAACCCAGACCGCCAGCUAAGGUCCCAAAGUCAUGGUUAAGUGGGAAACGAUGUGGGAAGGCACAGACAGCCAGGAUGUUGGCUUAGAAGCAGCCAUCAUUUAAAGAAAGCGUAAUAGCUCACUGGUCGAGUCGGCCUGCGCGGAAGAUGUAACGGGGCUAAACCAUGCACCGAAGCUGCGGCAGCGACACUAUGUGUUGUUGGGUAGGGGAGCGUUCUGUAAGCCUGCGAAGGUGUGCUGUGAGGCAUGCUGGAGGUAUCAGAAGUGCGAAUGCUGACAUAAGUAACGAUAAAGCGGGUGAAAAGCCCGCUCGCCGGAAGACCAAGGGUUCCUGUCCAACGUUAAUCGGGGCAGGGUGAGUCGACCCCUAAGGCGAGGCCGAAAGGCGUAGUCGAUGGGAAACAGGUUAAUAUUCCUGUACUUGGUGUUACUGCGAAGGGGGGACGGAGAAGGCUAUGUUAGCCGGGCGACGGUUGUCCCGGUUUAAGCAUGUAGGCUGAUUGUCCAGGCAAAUCCGGAUAAUCAAGGCUGAGGUGUGAUGACGAGGCACUACGGUGCUGAAGUAACAAAUGCCCUGCUUCCAGGAAAAGCCUCUAAGCAUCAGGUAACAUUAAAUCGUACCCCAAACCGACACAGGUGGUCAGGUAGAGAAUACCAAGGCGCUUGAGAGAACUCGGGUGAAGGAACUAGGCAAAAUGGUGCCGUAACUUCGGGAGAAGGCACGCUGGUGUGUAGGUGAAGCCCCUGCGGGUGGAGCUGAGACCAGUCGAAGAUACCAGCUGGCUGCAACUGUUUAUUAAAAACACAGCACUGUGCAAACACGAAAGUGGACGUAUACGGUGUGACGCCUGCCCGGUGCCGGAAGGUUAAUUGAUGGGGUUAUCCGUAAGGAGAAGCUCUUGAUCGAAGCCCCGGUAAACGGCGGCCGUAACUAUAACGGUCCUAAGGUAGCGAAAUUCCUUGUCGGGUAAGUUCCGACCUGCACGAAUGGCGUAAUGAUGGCCAGGCUGUCUCCACCCGAGACUCAGUGAAAUUGAACUCGCUGUGAAGAUGCAGUGUACCCGCGGCAAGACGGAAAGACCCCGUGAACCUUUACUAUAGCUUGACACUGAACAUUGAGCCUUGAUGUGUAGGAUAGGUGGGAGGCUUUGAAGCGUGGACGCCAGUCUGCGUGGAGCCAACCUUGAAAUACCACCCUUUAAUGUUUGAUGUUCUAACGUUGGCCCCUGACCGGGGUUGCGGACAGUGUCUGGUGGGUAGUUUGACUGGGGCGGUCUCCUCCCAAAGCGUAACGGAGGAGCACGAAGGUUAGCUAAUCCUGGUCGGACAUCAGGAGGUUAGUGCAAUGGCAUAAGCUAGCUUGACUGCGAGCGUGACGGCGCGAGCAGGUGCGAAAGCAGGUCAUAGUGAUCCGGUGGUUCUGAAUGGAAGGGCCAUCGCUCAACGGAUAAAAGGUACUCCGGGGAUAACAGGCUGAUACCGCCCAAGAGUUCAUAUCGACGGCGGUGUUUGGCACCUCGAUGUCGGCUCAUCACAUCCUGGGGCUGAAGUAGGUCCCAAGGGUAUGGCUGUUCGCCAUUUAAAGUGGUACGCGAGCUGGGUUUAGAACGUCGUGAGACAGUUCGGUCCCUAUCUGCCGUGGGCGCUGGAGAAUUGAGGGGGGCUGCUCCUAGUACGAGAGGACCGGAGUGGACGCAUCACUGGUGUUCGGGUUGUCAUGCCAAUGGCACUGCCCGGUAGCUAAAUGCGGAAGAGAUAAGUGCUGAAAGCAUCUAAGCACGAAACUUGCCCCGAGAUGAGUUCUCCCUGAGACUUUAAGUCUCCUGAAGGAACGUU
rnacentral:rRNA from 1 species